GUAAGUUGGAAGGCCCAAUUCGUUUUAGUUAUUGGGAGUUGAAGUCUGCUACUAAAAGUUUCAGUGCAGAAAAUAAACUUGGAGAAGGAGGAUUUGGUGCUGUAUAUAAGGGUACUUUGAAGAAUGGGAAAGUAGUUGCUGUAAAGAAAUUAACUUUACGCCAGUCUAAAAAGGUGGAAGAAGAAAUUGAAAGUGAAGUGAAGCUUAUAAGCAAUGUUCAUCACCGAAAUCUCAUUCGACUGCUCGGAUGUUGCAGUGAAGGCAAUGAGAGAAUUCUUAUAUAUGAAUAUAUGAAAAACACCAGUCUGGAUAAAUUCUUAUUUGGUA